rnacentral:rRNA from 1 species
UGAGGAAUAUUGGUCAAUGGACGGAAGUCUGAACCAGCCAUGCCGCGUGAAGGAUGAAGGCGUUCUGCGUUGUAAACUUCUUUUAUCUGGGAAGAAACCACAGAUUUCUAUUUGUGUUGACGGUACCAGAGGAAUAAGCACCGGCUAACUCCGUGCCAGCAGCCGCGGUAAUACGGAGGGUGCGAGCGUUAUCCGGAUUUACUGGGUUUAAAGGGUGCGUAGGCGGGCUAUUAAGUCAGAGGUGAAAUCUCCGGGCUCAACCUGGAAACUGCCUUUGAUACUAUUAGCCUUGAAUUAUGUUGAGGUUGGCGGAAUAUGACAUGUGGCGGUGAAAUGCUUAGAUAUGUUAUGGAACACCGAUUGCGAAGGCAGCUGGCUAAACAUAUAUUGACGCUGAUGCACGAAAGCGUGGGUAGCGAACA